GACGAACGCUGGCGGCGUGCUUAACACAUGCAAGUGGAGCGACGAACCAGGGCUUGCCCUGGGGCAGAACCGCGAACGGGUGAGUAACACGUGGGUAACCUACCCCGAUGACCGGGACAACCCGAGGAAACUCGGGCUAAUACCGGAUGUUGUCGUUUUCUCUAAGGAAACCGACUAAAGAUAGCUUCGGCCUUCGCAUCGGGACGGGCCCGCGGCCCAUUAGCUUGGUGGUGGGGUAACGGCCUACCAAGGCGACGAUGGGUAGCUGGUCUGAGAGGACGAUCAGCCACACUGGGACUGAGACACGGCCCAGACUCCUACGGGAGGCAGCAGUGGGGAAUCUUGCGCAAUGGGCGAAAGCCUGACGCAGCAACGCCGCGUGGGGGAAGAAGGCCUUCGGGUUGUAAACCCCUUUCAGUUGGGACGAAGCUUCCAGAGUUAAUAGCUUUGUGGAGUGACGGUACCUUCAGAAGAAACCCCGGCUAACUACGUGCCAGCCGCCGCCGUAAGAC
rnacentral:rRNA from 1 species